rnacentral:lncRNA from 1 species
AAGAAUUAAGUCAUCUACAACUUGAGUUAAAAAUUAAACAAAAACAAUCUCAAGUCUUCAGUCAAAGAUUGUCAGAAUACAAAUACUUCUGGAAUAAGACUCUUUUAUUACUUACUUUUACUAAAAGGGAACUAACAAGUAUUAAAUAUGAAAUAAAUGAUAAUUUUCAAAACUGGACUUCACUGAAAGGAGAAGUGUUUCUACAAAUUAAAUCUAUAAGUGAUACAGCCUUGGCAGAGAUAGAUAUGUUAAAUAAGAGUCUGACAGUGUCUCAGAGAAAUAAGGUAAGCCUGGAAGAGGAAAUGAAAUGUCUCAAAGUGUUGUCGGAUGCAGCCAUAUUGAGGUCUCAGCAGAUGGAGGCGUCCAAGCAGCAUGAAGUGAACCUGCAAGCCAGGUGCUACGAGCUGCAGAAGGAGGCACUGGAUUUACAGUGUCAAGUAGAGGCCCUUGGGCUGAGACUUCAGAAGACAGUGAAGGAGCUGGACAACUGUAAAGAGAUGCUCAUGAAAAAAUCUAAUGAUGCUAAUAACUGUGAAAGAGAACUUAGAAAACUGAAGUUUGAGUCCAUUAUCUCUGAGUCAAGG